GACGAACGCUGGCGGCGUGCCUAAUACAUGCAAGUCGACCUUAGUGGCGAACGGGUGAGUAACACGUGGGUAACCGGCCCAUCAGAAGGGGAUAACACUUGGAAACAGGUGCUAAUACCGUAUACUGCAGGAUGGACCCGCGGUGCAUUUGCUAGAUGGUGAGGUAACGGCUCACCAAGGCCACGAUGCAUAGCCGACCUGAGAGGAUGAUCAGUCACAAUGGAAUUGAGACACGGUCCAUCCUCCUACGGGAGGCAGCAGUAGGGAAUCUUCGGCAAUGGACGAAAGUCUGACCGAGCAACGCCGCGUGAGUGAAGAAGGUUUUCGGAUCGUAAAUCUCGGUUGUUAGAGAAGCGGUAUCUAACCAGAAAGCCACGGCUAACUACGUGCCAGCAGCCGCGGUAAUAC
rnacentral:rRNA from 1 species